rnacentral:lncRNA from 1 species
AUUCCGACUGCAGCUCCAGCUAAAGCGAUUGUUGCAGCUCCCGCACCUAUUAACUUAGCUCCUUCUAACAUUUCUUCGUCUUAUUGAUUCUUUUCACGCUUCAUUGAUUAUUAUAUAAUUCUAAAUUAAAUUUCUCUUCUCUUACGAGAUUUUCGAAUUCACCACUUUCCCGUCUACAUGAAACAUGAAUGAAAGCCUUGUGUUUCGGCUUGAGGAUGUAGACAAACCACUAUGAAGAUCUAGAAAAAAGCUUUACUCGCACGAGAUUCUUGAAUCAGAUUGGGGUUGACCCCUCUUNN